rfam:[Bacillus] aminovorans strain DSM 1314 DSM1314_contig_2, whole genome shotgun sequence.
ACGGUGUUCCGCUGCCGCCGAUAUGCGCGGGUAUGAGCAUUUG